CAACAUUAAGAUGUUUAGAGUCCCACGUAUUAUAAUGUAAGCUGGGCAGGAAUGGGCUAGGGCUUGUUUGGGCUGAGUAUUAUGUUAUGGCAUGCGCCUUGAUGGGCUUAUAUCCUAUAUAUAGGCUAGGUGAAUGUUACACAUGGUAGUGAAUUUCCAUUCAUAUCAUUAAAUAGAUGAAACUACAUAUAAAAUGAUUUAAUGCUCUUUGAAACAUUAUUCAGUUACCUAACAUGUCUUGCAGGGUGGAUCUUUUGGCUAUCAUUUACCAGGCCUUUUCCUACAGGCCCUCUGAUGCAUUCCUUUCCUCUGCCACUGUUUCCUUUGCUUGUGUUUGCUGCUGCUGCUGGCGGUGGCGGCGGUGGUGUGUGUCAUGGUGUCAUGUAUGUAUGUAUUUAUGUGUUUGGUACUUCAGAUUAUUCUCAUGGAGACCAGACAUGCAUUCUUCUGAGUUACGUUGCCAACCUUCUGAUACCUAUCUGUAUUCACAAGAUAUCUGUCAGACAUUUCAUUCAUAUCACCAUGUGUCGAUGUAACAAUCCUCUGUUUUUCAGCAUGGGUGACUUCCAAGUCCAAGGCCUAGAUCCAGUUUUAACUACCUACAGUAACCCUCCACUGCAGGCAGACGGGAUUUCAGUUACUUAGCAGAACCCUAACUGUUCACUGUCAUCUCUGAAGCUUGAGAUUCUUGUUGCUAAUGGUUUUACUUGUUUUUUUGUUUUUGUUUUUUUUUUCCUACCUUCAAUAGGCUUAUGUAAACAUGAGGAAGAUCGGGAGUAGUCGGGGGAUGGUUUCUGCUUACCCUCGACAGCUAGAGUCAU
rnacentral:lncRNA from 1 species